rnacentral:rRNA from 1 species
UGUGGUUAAUUCGAUGCUACACGAAGAACUUACCUGGAUUUGACAUGCACGUAGGUAGUGAACCGAAAGGGAACGAGCCUUCGGGCAGCGUGCACAGGUGCUGCAUGGCUGUCGUCAGCUCGUGCCGUGAGGUGUUGGGUUAAGUCCCGCAACGAGCGCAACCCUCGUCGCUAGUUACAUGUGUCUAGCGAGACUGCCAGGUUAACCCUGGAGGAAGUGGGAUGACGUCAAGUCAGCAUGGCCUUUAUGUCCAGGGCUACACACACGCUACAAUGGUCGGUACAAUGGGAUGCCAAGCCGCGAGGCGGAGCAAAUCCUCAAAGCCGGCCUCAGUUCGGAUUGGAGGCUGCAACUCGCCUCCAUGAAGUCGGAGUUGCUAGUAACCGCAGGUCAGCUAUACUGCGGUGAAUACGUUCCCGGGCCUU